UACGAAGGGGGCUAGCGUUGCUCGGAAUCACUGGGCGUAAAGGGCGCGUAGGCGGAUCUUUAAGUCGGGGGUGAAAGCCCAGGGCUCAACCCUGGAAUUGCCUUCGAUACUGAAGAUCUCGAGACCGGAAGAGGUUAGUGGAACUGCGAGUGUAGAGGUGAAAUUCGUAGAGUAAUUCGCAAGAACACCAGUGGCGAAGGCGGCUGACCUGGUCCGGUUCUGAAGCGGCUGACGGCGGCGCAAAGCGAUGGGGAGGCCAAACUGGGGAAGUUAAAG
rnacentral:rRNA from 1 species